CCAGAGCUGUGGAGUGUGACAAUGGUGUUUGUGUCCAAUCUAUCAAACGCCAUUAUCACACUAAAUAGCUACUGUUAGAUA
rnacentral:pre_miRNA from 1 species